rnacentral:rRNA from 1 species
GGUUGACCUCGGAUCAGGUAGGGAUACCCGCUGAACUUAAGCAUAUCAAUAAGCGGAGGAAAAGAAACCAACAGGGAUUGCCUUAGUAACGGCGAGUGAAGCGGCAACAGCUCAAAUUUGAAAGCUGGCCCUUUUAGGGUCCGCGUUGUAAUUUGUAGAGGAUGAUUCGGCGAGGGCUCCCGCCUAAGUCCCCUGGAACGGGGCGUCAUAGAGGGUGAGAAUCCCGUAUGCGGUGGGCUGCCUUAGCCAUGUGAAUCUCCUUCGACGAGUCGAGUUGUUUGGGAAUGCAGCUCUAAAUGGGAGGUAAAUUUCUUCUAAAGCUAAAUACCGGCCAGAGACCGAUAGCGCACAAGUAGAGUGAUCGAAAGAUGAAAAGCACUUUGGAAAGAGAGUUAAAAAGUACGUGAAAUUGUUGAAAGGGAAGCGCUUGCAACCAGACUUGUCCGCAGUUGCUCAGCCGGUCUCCUGACCGGCGUACUCUUCUGCGGCCAGGCCAGCAUCAGUUCGGGCGGUCGGAUAAAGACCUCGGGAAUGUAGCUCCUCUCGGGGAGUGUUAUAGCCCGGGGUGGAAUGCGGCCAGCCUGGACUGAGGAUCUCGCUUCGGCAAGGAUGCUGGCGUAAUGGUUGUAAGCGGCCCGUCUUGAAACACGGACCAAGGAGUCUAACAUCUAUGCGAGUGUUUGGGUGUCAAACCCAUACGCGUAAUGAAAGUGAACGGAGGUGGGAACCCGCAAGGGCGCACCAUCGGCCGAUCCUGAUGUCUUCGGAUGGAUUUGAGCAAGAGCAUAGCUGUUGGGACCCGAAAGAUGGUGAACUAUGCCUGAAUAGGGUGAAGCCAGAGGAAACUCUGGUGGAGGCUCGCAGCGGUUCUGACGUGCAAAUCGAUCGUCAAAUUUGGGUAUAGGGGCGAAAGACUAAUCGAACCAUCUAGUAGCUGGUUCCUGCCGAAGUUUCCC